AAAACAUUUUGGUUAGCAAUGUGGACAGAUCUUGCAUUGCACUAAUUUUCCAAAAAACAUAAAACAAUUAAUCUUAAUUUACUGCAAGGAACAUGAGCUGCAGACAUCAGUUUAUUAAAUAUCUGGUACAUGAGCUCUUUUUACCCUAUAAUUUCAUCAAUUAUAAAUUUUUCUUGGCUGAAAUUUUCAUUUCCUAUUGAUAUUCCUAGAAAAUAGAAUUACUAACUACCACACAAGAAAUUUAACCUAAUGACGG
rnacentral:misc_RNA from 1 species